UACGUAGGGUGCGAGCGUUAAUCGGAAUUACUGGGCGUAAAGCGUGCGCAGGCGGUUUUGUAAGCCAGAUGUGAAAUCCCCGGGCUUAACCUGGGAAUGGCAUUUGGGACUGCAAGGCUUGAGUGCGGCAGAGGAGACUGGAAUUCCUGGUGUAGCGGUGGAAUGCGCAGAUAUCAGGAAGAACACCCGUGGCGAAGGCGGCUCUCUGGAACGCAACUGACGCUGAGACGCGAAAGCGUGGGGAGCAAACAGG
rnacentral:rRNA from 1 species